GUGGGCUACGGGGACAUGGUGCCGGUCACUAUAGGAGGCAAGAUCGUAGGUUCUCUGUGUGCCAUCGCUGGAGUGUUGACAAUCGCCCUCCCGGUGCCCGUCAUCGUGUCCAAC
rfam:Takifugu rubripes chromosome, Chr_9